CACUGGAUAGCUCAGUCGGGUAGAGCAUCGGUCCCAUAAACCGAGUGUCGCGGGUUCGAUUCCCGCUCCAACAA
rnacentral:tRNA from 1 species